GACGAACCGUGCGAACGUUGUUCGGAUUCACUGGGCUUAAAGGGCGCGUAGGCGGCUCGCCAAGUCGGGGGUGAAAUCUUUCGGCUCAACCGGAAAACAGCUUCCGAUACUGGCGGGCUCGAGUGGGGUAGGGGCGACUGGAACUUCCGGUGGAGCGGUGAAAUGCGUAGAUAUCGAGAGGAACACCUGCGGCGAAGGCGGGUUGCUGGGCUGACACUGACGCUGAGGCGCGAAAGCUAGGGGAGCGAACGGG
rnacentral:rRNA from 1 species